CAGAAGCAAAUCGGACAAGGCAGAUAAUAUGAUUCCUUUUGGAAUAUAAUAGAGAAUAGAAUUAGCAAGUAUAAAAGAAGUCCUAUCAUUGUGUAAAUCAAACUCCCAGGGUGGAAGGAAAAUCUUAUAUAUCUAUGAAAAGAUGGGCGGGCUGGAAUGUGCCUAUAGGUAUGAGGGACUCAUUCUUAUGUAUGUAUUUAUGUAUAUGGAUGCAAAUGUAUCCGUAUAUAUUAUUCUAUGCAGAGCCUAGUAUGCUAUCACUAUUGUGAAUAACAGCAAAUAAACAGCGUUACUGUACCCUGAAUUUCCAAGGAAAAAGAACAGGGAGUAUGUGCAGCUUUUGAAUAUAUUGUAGCAUUUCCCAUGUAGACAGAUCAGCUGCUUUCCAAACAGUAAACUGAAUUUUCCAACGGAAUAAAAUAAUUCUUAUAGUGAACAGUAACAAGCACAUAAAAAGAAAGGAUCCCUCACAACUAAAAAGUCCUUCCCAAGUAAAUAAAAGUCAUUUUUAUUAUGAUACGAUGUUCCCAAUUUUUCUAUAGUCUCACCUAAAAAAAAUAAGGCACUGACCUAUAAAUUGUAUUUUUUUAAAUGUAUACACCUAAAAGAAACAUCUCAUAGAAAACUUCGUGAGUUUUUUUUAAAGUCUCUAGGGAAAAAAAAAAAUUACUGCAAAUAAUUAUUGUCAGAAAUCAUCAUCAGCUCUAAGGCAGACCAUAAAGACUCUGGGUUAUUUUGUGUCUUAAAAAAUCAAGCUUUGGGGAGUUCCCUGGUGGCCUAGCAGGUUAAGUAAGGAUCUGGCAUCAUCACUGCUGUGGUUCAGACUGCUACUGUGGCAUGGGUUCGAUCCCUGGCCUGGAAACUUUUGCAUGCGGUACAGCCAAAAAAUUUUUUCAAGAUUUUAUAGAAAAUUCUUACUCAAAAUCAGUUCCUCAUGGAAAGCACAGCAUGGAUGGACCUAGAAACUAUCAUGCUAAGUAAAGUCAGUCAGACAAUGAGACACCAACAUCAAAUGCUAUCUAUCACUUACAAGUGGAAUCUAAAAAAAUGACACAAUGAACUUCUUUGCAGAACAGAUACUAACUCACAGACCUUGAAAAACUUAUGGUUUCCAAAUAAGACAGGACGGGGUGGGGGGGGGGAAUGCACAGAGAGUUUGGGAUGGAAAUGCUGUAAAAUUUGGUUGUGAUACUUGUUGUACACCUACAAAUGUAAUAAAAUUCAUUAAGUAAUUUUAAAAGAGAGAGAAAAAAAGAAAGUUUCAGUUUGGAAUGGAGGAAGUGAAGGAGGAAAGCCAGUACAGAGGGUAUUUCACAGAAACAAGCAGCGGGGUCCCUCUUGGCAGGAAAGAGAAAAUUAUCUGAGGGAAAAGCAGAAAGUUGCAGGAGGUUACUGUCCCUACUGUGAAGAGAAUGUGAGAUUUUAAAUAUCAGAAAUUUCAAAUAAGUUAGAAAGAAGCAAACAGGUCCAAUAAAGGAUAGUUCAUUUUGCUUUGAAAGUACAGUUUUCUCAAGGUGCAGGGAACAGGGAUCCUAAAUCUUUAUUAUUAUACCCUCAAUAGGACUUUAUUAAAACCACCCUAGGAAUCUUUUCAUAAAAAUUAGGUGCUUCCCUUUGAAGUCUCACUU
rnacentral:lncRNA from 1 species